GGGCUCGCACAAGCAGUGGAGCAUGUGGUUUAAUUCGAUGAUACGCGAAGAACCUUACCAAGGUUUGACAUGUCACGCCGAGUCGCGAAAGUGACUUUUUUGCUGCUGGACUGAGUCUAGCAUUAAGCAACGUGAACACAGGUGGUGCAUGGUUGUCGUCAGCUCGUGCCGUGAGGUGUUAGGUUAAGUCCUGCAACGAGCGCAACCCUUAUCGAUUAGUUGCCUUUUAGGGAAACUAGCGAGACUGCCGGUGAUAAGCCGGAGGACGGUGAGGAUGACGUCAAAUCAGCAUGCCCCUUACAUCUUGGGCUACACACGUGCUACAAUGGUUGGGACAAUGGGAUGCAACUUCGCGAGAAGAAGCCAACCUCAAAACCCAAUCUUAGUUCGGAUUGCAGGCUGCAACUCGCCUGUAUG
rnacentral:rRNA from 1 species